GGCCCCUUUCUACUAAGGAGGCAAGAGGUGGCCAGGAGUCUGUCAGCGAGUUCUGCAUGUCCUGGUGACCCUCCACCUGUUUCACAGGUCGUUGGACUGUGGCAGGAAGCCGGAGUACUAGGAAAGAACCCACGCAAAAACAGGAAGAACAUGCCAACUCCACACAGAGCGACGGUAGAGCUGAACUCAAGACCUUCUUCCUGUGCGGUAACGGUGCUAACCACUGUGCCGCCCGCGUAAGAGGAGAGCCACUGAGGGAACGCCUUCCGCCCUCCAACGCCUCCACCGUGACCUCCACUUCUGACAGGAAUUGCCCACAGAUCAAGCAUGGAGUGUGCCUGAAUGGACAUACAGAACUCCAAGGUUCGGCCCAGUGUUGAGGGUUUUCCCAAAGGAGAGGGCCCGGCGGGCGGUGCCUCA